UACGUAGGGGGCGAGCGUUGUCCGAAGUUACUGGGCGUAAAGCGCGCGCAGGCGGUUCUCCAAGUCAGUGGUGAAAGCCCGGAGCUCAACUCCGGAAAUGCCAUUGAAACUGUUGAACUUGAGGACGAGAGAGGUGAGUGGAAUUCCCAGUGUAGAGGUGAAAUUCGUAGAUAUUGGGAAGAACACCGGUGGCGAAGGCGGCUCACUGGCUCGUAUCUGACGCUCAGGCGCGAUAGCGUGGGGAUCAAACAGG
rnacentral:rRNA from 1 species